AAAAACAUGUCUUUUUGAAAAUAAUUUAAAGUCUAAUCUGCCCACUGAUAUAAAUUAUUAAAGGGCUGCAGUAUUUUGACUGUACAAAGGUAGCAUAAUCAUUAGUCUCUUAAUUGGUGACUUGUAUGAAAGAUUGGAUGAGAUAUAAACUGUCUCUAAUUAAUUUAUAUAAUUUAAUUUUUUAGUUAAAAAGCUAAAAUAAAUUUAAAAGACGAGAAGACCCUAUAGAGUUUUAUAAUUUUAUAGGUUAUAAUUAUUAAUAGUUAAAAUUAUAAUUUAUAAAAUUAUUUUGUUGGGGUGAUAGAAAAAUUAAAUUAACUUUUUUUAUUAAUUAACAUUAAUUUAUGAAUAUAUGAUCCAUUUUUAGUGAUUAAAAGAAAAAAUUACCUUAGGGAUAACAGCGUAAUUUUUUUUUUUAGUUCAAAUAGGAAAAAAAGUUUGCGACCUCGAUGUUGGAUUAAGAUAAAAUUUAAAUGCAAAAGUUUAAAAUUUUGAUCUGUUCGAUCAUUAAAAUCUUACAUGAUCUGAGU
rnacentral:rRNA from 1 species